AAGGGUGGCUAUAGCGAGGGGGUUCACCUCUUCCCAUUCCGAACAGAGAAGUUAAGCCCCUCCACGCUGAUGGUACUGGAUUAAACCUCCGGGAGAGUAGGUAGUCGCCUCCU
rnacentral:rRNA from 1 species